UUUCAGUGAGUUACCGCGGAGUGCUCAGCACACAGUGGUGCACAAUGCUUGCACGGUCUGCUGACCCUCCCCCUGUAUUCAUUGCCAGAUCGCUGGUCCUCAGUGGUGCCCCGCGUGGUGGAGCUGAACAAGAACUCAGGCACAGAUGAAGUGGUGGUCCCCCUGGAUAACCUAGGGAACCCCAACUGUGACGGCCACCAGCAAGGUUAUGCUCCCAAGUGGAGGGCGGAGGACGCACCACUGUAGGGGCCAUGCCAGGGCUGGGGUCAAUGGCCCAGGCUUGGCCCUUGCUCCCACCUACAUUUCAGCAUCUGUCCUGUGUCUUCCCACACCCACACGUGACCUCGGAGGUGAGGGCCUCUGUGGAGACUCUGGGGAGGCCCCAGGACCCUCUGGUCCCCACAAAGACUUUUGCUCUUAUUUCUACUCCUCCCCACAUGGGGGACGGGGCUCCUGGCCACCUGUCUCACUCCCAUGGAGUCACCUAAGCCAGCUCAGGGCCCCUCCACUCACAGGGCUCAGGCCCCUGUCCCUCUUGUGCACUAUUUAUUGCUCUCCUCAGGAAAAUGACAUCACAGGAGUCUACCUGCAGCUGGAACCUGGCCAGGGCUGAGGCUCAUGCAGGGACACUGCAGCCCUGACCCGCUGCAGAUCUGACCUGCUGCAGCCCGGGCUAGGGUGGGUCUUCUGUACUUUGUAGAGAUCGGGGCUGUUGGUGCUCAAUAAAUGUUUGUUUAUUCUCGGUGGA
rnacentral:lncRNA from 1 species